rnacentral:rRNA from 1 species
UACGUAGGGUGCGAGCGUUAAUCGGAAUUACUGGGCGUAAAGCGUGCGCAGGCGGUUUUAUAAGCCAGAUGUGAAAUCCCCGGGCUUAACCUGGGAACUGCAUUUGUGACUGUAAGACUAGAGUGCGGCAGAGGGGGGUAGAAUUCCACGUGUAGCAGUGAAAUGCGUAGAUAUGUGGAGGAAUACCGAUGGCGAAGGCAGCCCCCUGGGUCGACACUGACGCUCAUGCACGAAAGCGUGGGGUGCAAACAGG